UACAGAGGUCCCGAGCGUUGUUCGGAUUCAUUGGGCGUAAAGGGUGCGUAGGUGGCGCUGUAAGUGGGGUGUGAAAUCCCGGGGCUUAACCCCGGGACUGCAUUCCAUACUGCGGUGCUUGAGGACUGGAGAGGAGACUGGAAUUUACGGUGUAGCAGUGAAAUGCGUAGAGAUCAUAAGGAAGACCAGUGGCGAAGGCGGGUCUCUGGACAGUUCCUGACACUGAGGCACGAAGGCCAGGGGAGCAAACGGG
rnacentral:rRNA from 1 species